rnacentral:rRNA from 3 species
UACGGAAGGUCCGGGCGUUAUCCGGAUUUAUUGGGUUUAAAGGGAGCGUAGGCCGGAGAUUAAGCGUGUUGUGAAAUGUAGACGCUCAACGUCUGCACUGCAGCGCGAACUGGUUUCCUUGAGUACGCACAAAGUGGGCGGAAUUCGUGGUGUAGCGGUGAAAUGCUUAGAUAUCACGAAGAACUCCGAUUGCGAAGGCAGCUCACUGGAGCGCAACUGACGCUGAAGCUCGAAAGUGCGGGUAUCGAACAGG